UACGAAGGGGGGCUAGCGUUGCUCGGAAUUACUGGGCGUAAAGGGCGCGUAGGCGGCCUGUUAAGUCGAACGUGAAAUCCCCGGGCUCAACCCGGGAACUGCGUCCGAUACUGGCAGGCUUGAAUCCGGGAGAGGGAUGCGGAAUUCCAGGUGUAGCGGUGAAAUGCGUAGAUAUCUGGAGGAACACCGGUGGCGAAGGCGGCAUCCUGGACCGGCAUUGACGCUGAGGCGCGAAAGCCAGGGGAGCAAAGCGGG
rnacentral:rRNA from 1 species